rnacentral:rRNA from 1 species
AUUGAACGCUGGCGGCAGGCCUAACACAUGCAAGUCGAGCGAGCGGCGGACGGGUGAGUAAUGUCUAGGAAACUGCCUGAUGGAGGGGGAUAACUACUGGAAACGGUAGAUAAUACCGCAUACGAUCAGAUAUGCACCGAUGGGGUUAGCUAGUAGUGGGGGUAACGGCUCACCUAGGCGACGAUCCCUAGCUGGUCUGAGAGGAUGACCAGCCCCACUGGAACUGAGACACGGUCCAGACUCCUACGGGAGGCAGCAGUGGGGAAUAUUGCACAAUGGGCGCAAGCCUGAUGCAGCCAUGCCGCGUGUGUGAAGAAGGCCUUCGGGUUGUAAAGCACUUUCAGCGGGGAGGCGUUACCCGCAGAAGAAGCACCGGCUAACUCCGUGCCAGCCGCCGCGGUAAUUC